UCCUCUGUAAACUGCCCUCAGUGGAAAACCAUGAUGGAGAUGUGUUUUUAGAACUCGGCUGUCAGUGAAGUUGGAGCAGAAAACUGCUGGAGGAACUCAGUGGGUCAGGCAGCAUCUGUGGAGGCAAUGGACAGACGACGUUGGGAUCGGGACCAUUCAAGACUCCAUUCUUGUCUCCAUUUACCAGGUUGGAUUAUGAUGACUGGAAAUGGCCAAGAUUGAUGAUCACCGUGGAUUGGAGUGAUAGAUGAUUGAAGAUCCUGAAGACCCAAUCUUGCUCCACGUUCUCUGCGACCUUCCACACCUGGAGCUGGAGAAGCUGUUGAGGAACAACUUGGUGGCACUUCUUGUGGCCCUGGAUCUCCUCCAGAUUGUUUGAAGGGACAAACAUGACAGAUGUCUGAGUGCCGGAGGUCGGUCGAGGACUCGCCCCUGAGAGAACACGGCAUCUGCGGAGGGAAUGGACAGACGACGUUUGGAUCGGGAUCCUUCAAGACUCCAUUCUUGUUUCCAUUUACCAGGUCGGUUUCUGAUGACCGGAAAUGGCCAAGGUUGAUGAUCAUCAUGGACUUGCAUGUCAGAUGCUUGAAGAUCCUGAAGACCCAAUCUUGCUCCACGUUCUCUGCGAACGUCCACACCUGGAGCUGGAGAAGCUGUUGAGGAACAACUUGGUGGGAUUUCUUGUGGCCCUGGAUCUCCUCCAGAUUGUUUGAAGG